ACAGGUAUCCAGAGACCUAAACCGAUUUCUCUCAGUGUCGGUCCAGAGAAUAAAACCCAGCACCGGCUGACACUUGGACAUGGGAAGCGGUCCGGGGGCGUCCGAAAUCGAUUUCAGCGCUACCUACCUACCUGCCAGCUUGGACUCGGGAUGGAUGUGGAUGUGGAUGUUAGUGGUUAUGGUUCUGAGCCCGGUAUUGGCAUUAGUCUUUUGGUCGCAGGGCCGGGUGUUACCUGUUACCAAGCUAAUGGCCAACAGACCGCGCGACCAACAUAAAUCCAUAAAAACAUGAAAAGGAAAACGAGCGAGAGAAAAUAAUUAAAUUGCAAUUAUGUGCAAACAAUUCCAAAUCCGGACGAUUCGGAAAAAGUUAAUUACACGACAAUAAAGCGCAGAAGAACGGGAAUGGAUAUAUGGCUAAGGUGUAUAGUAAGUAAGACUGGGUAACUGGCCACUGGUUACCUGCCCACACCGCAUCACAUCCGCAGGCUGAUUGGCUGCGACUCUUUGGCUGACUUGAGCUGACAUUAAUGGGUAUUUGAAUGCGGCUUCUGGGCGCUUUAAUCGGCUGACCGGAUCGGGACGGACUGGACUGGACUGGACUGGACAGAACGGACGGACUGCGUCUUAUGUCUCCAGUGACACGUCGUCGUCCGCAUUACAAUAUCGUUAGUGUGGAAAUGGGCCUUGACUGCGGAUGAUCGCAAUUUGCUGAUUUCGCGACUGCAGCAAGUCAUCAGCGACGGUACUCAAACUCAUAUCAUCCAUCCAAUGGUCGGUCGGUCGGUCGGUCGGUCCUCCGAUCUCGUGUCCCCAGCUAAUGAAGACCGACGGACGGAUUAGUUAUGGCCUUAUGAUAAAUUGGUCUGAUCCAAUUGUCUGGUCGUUUGGGCAGUCAUCGAAUUAGUGACAACAUCGGAUAGCAGCAACAACUUUCGCCACAGAUCUCAAUCAGUGGCGUACUGAUUAAAUGAAAUUUAAUGACCCAUGAUUGCCACCUUGGUUUCUUCUCGCACUGAGUGAUUCUUGAGUGAGUGGGUUUUCUUUUUUUUUUUUCUGGUAGAGGUUAUCGUCGAGGUAUUGAUUGAUCGUCUGUUUGAUUAGGUCAUCCGGCUUAGGAU
ensembl:ncRNA lncRNA:CR44718 long non-coding RNA:CR44718